CGGGAGUAACGCGUGGGCAACCUGCCUCAUACAGGGGGAUAACAGUUAGAAAUGACUGCUAAUACCGCAUAAGCGCACAGCAUCGCAUGAUGCCGUGUGAAAAACUCCGGUGGUAUGAGAUGGACCCGCGUCUGAUUAGGUAGUUGGUGGGGUAACGGCCUACCAAGCCGACGAUCAGUAGCCGACCUGAGAGGGUGACCGGCCACAUUGGGACUGAGACACGGCCCAA
rnacentral:rRNA from 1 species